rnacentral:rRNA from 1 species
UAGGGAAUCUUCCACAAUGGACGAAAGUCUGAUGGAGCAACGCCGCGUGAGUGAUGAAGGGUUUCGGCUCGUAAACUCUGUUGUUGGAGAAGAACAGGUGAUAGAGUAACUGUUAUCAUCUUGACGGUAUCCAACCAGAAAGCCACGGCUAACUACGUGCCAGCAGCCGCGGUAAUACGUAGGUGGCAAGCGUUGUCCGGAUUUAUUGGGCGUAAAGCGAGCGCAGGCGGUUUUUUAGGUCUGAUGUGAAAGCCUUCGGCUUAACCGGAGAAGGGCAUCGGAAACCGGGAGACUUGAGUGCAGAAGAGGACAGUGGAACUCCAUGUGUAGCGGUGAAAUGCGUAGAUAUAUGGAAGAACACCAGUGGCGAAGGCGGCUGUCUGGUCUGUAACUGACGCUGAGGCUCGAAAGCAUGGGUAGCGAACAGGAUUAGAUACCCUGGUAGUCCAUGCCGUAAACGAUGAGUGCUAAGUGUUGGAGGGUUUCCGCCCUUCAGUGCUGCAGCUAACGCAUUAAGCACUCCGCCUGGGGAGUACGACCGCAAGG